GAAAUGUGAAGCUUAGGUAAAAGCUGCUAACUUAUUACCCUAACGGUUAAAUUCCGUUUACAUUUCU
rnacentral:tRNA from 1 species